GAUCCUGGCUCAGAAUCAACGCUGGCGGCGUGCCUAACACAUGCAAGUCGAACGAGAAAGUGGAGCAAUCCAUGAGUACAGUGGCGACCGGGUGAGUAACACGUGACUACCUACCCUCGAGUGGGGGAUAACCCCGGGAAACCGGGGCUAAUACCGCAUAACAUCGCAAGAUCAAAGCAGUAAUGCGCUUGAGGAGGGGGUCGCGGCUGAUUAGCUAGUUGGUAGGGUAAUGGCCUACCAAGGCGAAGAUCGGUAGCCGGCCUGAGAGGGCGCACGGCCACACUGGAACUGAAACACGGUCCAGACUCCUACGGGAGGCA
rnacentral:rRNA from 1 species